GGAGUUCUCUUUCACAGCAUGCACG
rnacentral:piRNA from 1 species